GACGAACGCUGGCGGCGUGCUUAACACAUGCAAGUCGAACGAUGAAGCCUAGCUUGCUAGGUGGAUUAGUGGCGAACGGGUGAGUAAUACGUGAGUAACCUACCUUUAACUCUGGGAUAAGCCUGGGAAACUGGGUCUAAUACCGGAUACGACCAAUCUCCGCAUGGGGUGUUGGUGGAAAGCGUUAUGUAGUGGUUAUAGAUGGGCUCACGGCCUAUCAGCUUGUUGGUGAGGUAACGGCUCACCAAGGCGACGACGGGUAGCCGGCCUGAGAGGGUGACCGGCCACACUGGGACUGAGACACGGCCCAGACUCCUACGGGAGGCAGCAGUGGGGAAUAUUGCACAAUGGGCGCAAGCCUGAUGCAGCGACGCCGCGUGAGGGAUGACGGCCUUCGGGUUGUAAACCUCUGUUAGCAGGGAAGAAGAGAAAUUGACGGUACCUGCAGAGAAAGCGCCGGCUAACUACGUGCCAGCAGCCGCGGUAAUACGUAGGGCGCGAGCGUUGUCCGGAAUUAUUGGGCGUAAAGAGCUUGUAGGCGGUUUGUCGCGUCUGCUGUGAAAGGCCGGGGCUUAACCCCGUGUAUUGCAGUGGGUACGGGCAGACUAGAGUGCAGUAGGGGAGACUGGAACUCCUGGUGUAGCGGUGGAGUGCGCAGAUAUCAGGAAGAACACCGAUGGCGAAGGCAGGUCUCUGGGCUGUAACUGACGCUGAGAAGCGAAAGCAUGGGGAGCGAACAGG
rnacentral:rRNA from 1 species